ACGGAAGGCAGCAGUGGGGAAUAUUGCACAAUGGGGGAAACCCUGAUGCAGCGACGCCGCGUGAGUGAAGAAGUAUUUCGGUAUGUAAAGCUCUAUCAGCAGGAAAGAAAAUGACGGUACCUGACUAAGAAGCCCCGGCUAACUACGUGCCAGCAGCCGCGGUAAUACGUAGGGAGCAAGCGUUAUCCGGAUUUAUUGGGUGUAAAGGGUGCGUAGACGGGAAAUUAAGUUAGUUGUGAAAUCCCUCGGCUUAACUGAGGAACUGCAACUAAAACUGGUUUUCUUGAGUGCGGGAGAGGAAAGUGGAAUUCCUAGUGUAGCGGUGAAAUGCGUAGAUAUUAGGAGGAACACCAGUGGCGAAGGCGACUUUCUGGACCGUAACUGACGUUGAGGCACGAAAGUGUGGGGAGCAAACAGGAUUAGAUACCCUGGUA
rnacentral:rRNA from 1 species